GACGAACGCUGGCGGCGUGCUUAACACAUGCAAGUCGAGCGAGAGAAAUUCCUUCGGGAAGGACUCUAGCGGCGGACGGGUGAGUAACACGUGGGUAACCUGCCUCAUAGAGGGGAAUAGCCUUUCGAAAGGAAGAUUAAUACCGCAUAAGAUUGUAGUAUCGCAUGAUGCAGCAAUUAAAGGAGUAAUCCGGUAUGAGAUGGGCCCGCGUCGCAUUAGCUAGUUGGUGAGGUAACGGCUCACCAAGGCGACGAUGCGUAGCCGACCUGAGAGGGUGAUCGGCCACAUUGGGACUGAGACACGGCCCAGACUCCUACGGGAGGCAGCAGUGGGGAAUAUUGCACAAUGGGGGAAACCCUGAUGCAGCAACGCCGCGUGAGUGAUGACGGUCUUCGGAUUGUAAAACUCUGUCUUCAGGGACGAUAAUGACGGUACCUGAGGAGGAAGCCACGGCUAACUACGUGCCAGCAGCCGCGGUAA
rnacentral:rRNA from 1 species